UGCGGUUUCCUUGGUAAAGUUAGAGAGAUACCAUAGAAGAUGGAGUGCCAUCCACACACUCAGAGGCAGCCUUCUCCUCUGCCUUGACGGUGAAAGUCGCUCAGUCGUGUCCGACCUGGGUCUCCUGCAUUGCAGGUGGAUUCUUUACCAGCUGAUCCACCAAGGAAGCCCCUCCUCUCCCUUAAGCUGCAGCAUUUGAGAGCUGACAUGGGCUUCCCUGGUAGCUCAGAUGGUAAAGCGUCUGCCUGCAAUACAGGAGACCUGGGUUUGAUCCCUGAGUCGGGAAGGAUCCCCUGGAGAAGGCAAUGGCAACCUACUCCAGGACUCUUGCCUGGAAAAUUCCAUGGAUGGAGGAGCCUGAACCACGGUGAAGAGGAGAGGAUCGACGGAGCUGCAGUAUUAAUUCAUUUACUUGGCAACAGCUGUGCUGGGCGCAGAGCACUUGCCUGGGCCACAUGUGUGACCAGCAUCCUUCUGGUGCACUCCAUCCACUCCCAGCUCCCCAGGACAGUCUCGUUUUCCUGUCUGAGCGCAUGCUGAUUCCAGCUCAGCGGAUUCCCUCAUAGCUUCAGUCUUGCUGACAUCUCACCCUCUUUGGCGAGGCCUGUUUUGAUCACGUUCUGUUAAUAAUUAUGACGAAUACAAAUAAUAACGCAAAGCACAUCAGCGGGAGGAGAGCCAGCAAGGAGCUAACGUGUUUCUCCUAUGAGCAUAGUCCCCACACACCAUCGGGAG
ensembl:lncRNA